rnacentral:rRNA from 1 species
CCUACGGGAGGCUGCAGUGGGGGAUAUUGGACAAUGGGGGAAACCCUGAUCCAGCGAUGCCGCGUGAGGGAAGAAGGUUUUCGGAUUGUAAACCUCUGUGGAGGGGGACGAUAAUGACGGUACCCCUUUAGGAAGCCACGGCUAACUACGUGCCAGCAGCCGCGGUAAUACGUAGGUGGCGAGCGUUGUCCGGAAUUACUGGGUGUAAAGGGAGUGUAGGCGGGAAAGCAAGUCAGAAGUGAAAACUAUGGGCUUAACCCAUAGCCUGCUUUUGAAACUGUUUUUCUUGAGUGAAGUAGAGGCAAGCGGAAUUCCUAGUGUAGCGGUGAAAUGCGUAGAUAUUAGGAGGAACACCAGUGGCGAAGGCGGCGUACCGGCGCCAGACUGACGCUGAGGCACGAAAGCGUGGGGAUCGAACAGGAUUAGAUACCCGGGUAGUC